GACGAACGCUGGCAGCGUGCUUACAAAAAGCAAGUAGAACGGAAAGGAAAUGCUAAUGUGGGAUGAAAGAAAGGAGAAAAAAUGAGUAAAAAGAGAGUAAACUAAAAUUAACUAAGAGAAACCUUCACGAAACUGGGGCUAAUACCGGAUAGGAGCUCCUGCUGCAUGGUGGGGGUUGGAAAGUUUCGGCGGUUGGGGAUGGACUCGCGGCUUAUCAGCUUGUUGGUGGGGUAGUGGCUUACCAAGGCUUUGACGGGUAGCCGGCCUGAGAGGGUGACCGGCCACAUUGGGACUGAGAUACGGCCCAGACUCCUACGGGAGGCAGCAGUGGGGAAUAUUGCACAAUGGGCGGAAGCCUGAUGCAGCAACGCCGCGUGCGGGAUGACGGCCUUCGGGUUGUUAACCGCUUUCGCCUGUGGCGAAGCGUGAGUGACGGUAAUGGGUAAAGAAGCACCGGCUAACUACGUG
rnacentral:rRNA from 1 species